rnacentral:tRNA from 1 species
GGCCUGAUAGCUCAGUUGGUAGAGCAAAGGACUGAAAAUCCUUGUGUCACUGGUUCGAUCCCGGUUCAGGCCA